rnacentral:rRNA from 1 species
GAUGAACGCUGACAGAAUGCUUAACACAUGCAAGUCAACUUGAACUUCGGUUUGGGUGGCGGACGGGUGAGUAACGCGUAAAGAACUUGCCUCACAGAUAGGGACAACAUUUGGAAACGAAUGCUAAUACCUGAUAUUAUGAUUAUAUGGCAUCGUAUAAUUAUGAAAGCUAUAUGCGCUGUGAGAGAGCUUUGCGUCCCAUUAGCUAGUUGGAGAGGUAACGGCUCACCAAGGCGAUGAUGGGUAGCCGGCCUGAGAGGGUGAUCGGCCACAAGGGGACUGAGACACGGCCCUUACUCCUACGGGAGGAAGCAGUGGGGAAUAUUGGACAAUGGACGAAGAGUCUGAUCGAGAAAUUCUGUGUGCAAGAUGAAGUUUUUCGGAAUGUAAAGUGUUUUCAGUUGGGAAGAAAAAAAUGACGGUAACAACAGAAGAAGCGACGGCUAAAUACGUG